CGGGUGAGUAACGCGUAGGGACCUGCCAUAGAGAGGGGGACAACCAUUGGAAACGGUGGCUAAUACCGCAUAAUGCCUAAGGGUUAAAGGUGGCUUUCGGGCUAUCGCUUUAUGAUGGACCUGCGUUAGAUUAGCUAGUUGGUGGGGUAAGGGCCUACCAAGGCGACGAUCUAUAGCUGUUCUGAGAGGAAGAUCAGCCACACUGGGACUGAGAC
rnacentral:rRNA from 1 species